CUCACUCUCUUCGGAUCAUCACUCCCUAUCACACUUCCUCACACUCUCUCCGACCUCUCUCUCUGGCUCCCCAUCACAUUUCCUCACUCUCUCCAGCUACCAAACACGGAAGCGUUGCCUGUUUUAGAUAGCAGAACCCAACCGCUGCCUGUUUAUGGUCAGUGAUUAAAGAAAAUGAAAAAAAAUUUGUUUAUUGUACAUUCUUGGAUUAAUUUUGUAAAUUUUGGUGGUAAUUAUUUGAUGAUAAAGAUGAAUUUUUGGUUUGGAAUAUUAAUUGUGUGAAUAUUGCUGGAUUUUUUGUUUGGAGUAUUAAUUGUGUGGAAAUUGUUAUGAAAAUUGCUGGACUUUUCAUUUGGAGUAUUAAUUGUGUGAAAAUUGCUAUGAAAAUUACUGGAUUUUUCAUUGGGAAUAUUAAAUGUUUGAAAAUUUCUGUGAAAAUUACUGGAUUUUGAUUCAAUGUGAUGCAGAAAUAUGAGUUGGGUGAAAAUUUUAUUGAUCUGUUAGAAAAUGUCUAUAGGGUUAAUCAUUUGAUUUCUCUUUUAUCUAGCCGCAAUAUCUACUUACACCAACUCUUAAUGUUCAUCUAGCACAUGUACCCUCAUAAAUGAGUACUAACCCUCAUAACUUGGUAUGAAAUUAUGAAUUCAAAAAUUGAAUUUGUAUUCAAUAUGUAGAAUUUUUUUUCUUUAAUAUUUUGUAUAAGGAGUAGUUUUGAGGUAGAUGAACACAAAUGAAGAUAUUUAGUGCAGUUGGCAAUGAGUCCAGCUUGAAUUAGACACUUCAAUCGGGUGGCUUGCCACUAGCAUUGCCAUUAUUAGAUUCUUUCAAUUCCCUGCUUGAUUAGGAAAUUCAAAACCAUUAACAGGGUUUACUUAGGAGCUGAUGACACGAUUACAACUUACAAAAAGCAAAGCAAAAAAAAAAAAAUGACAAUUUUGCCUCAAUCACUAGAACUCUUCAUGUAUUGACCUUCUACUCUAUCAUUCUCCAUAAAAAAUAUGUGUGCAUUGCAUAUAUCUUCAAUGUGAACUAAAGCAAUUGACCUCGUUCUGUCAUUUACAGAAGACAAUAUUGAAAAGAACUUGGAGUCACCCAAGGAAGUAGCCAAUUUGCGAGUUAUAAUAUUUUCUUUAUUUCAUGUUCAUGUGUGCAUGCAUAGACUUGUUACUAGUAGUUUAUUUAUUACACAUGUUGAAAAUAUAUUAUAAGCAGAAUUAUUUCAGCCACAUUUUUUUCUAUGCAUUUUAUGACUAGGGGAAGAGUUUGAUGUAUUAUAAGCAUAAUUAAUUGUUGAUACCUAGCA
rnacentral:lncRNA from 1 species